GAGCCGUGGUUAUAAAAGGAGGAAAGGUUGGAGGCAGGGGGGGUUCGGGGGGGAGAGGAGCAGCGCUGCCUCGGGGGUCUGCAUCUGGAAGCGGCCACCAGUUUCCUGCUGGGAAUCCGGGAAAGAGAACUCGGUGAGAAAUGCGAAUGCUGCAGCUGGAGCGCUGAGAGGGGAGACUGCAGGGAAUGUGUCUGGGCAGCGUGUGAGCCCAGGCCCUCCUCCCUGGAGCAGGGACAGCUGAGGAUGAGCCCCAGGGACUUAGCCAUCAGAGCAGGCCAGGACAAAUCACCAACCUCCUGCCACCUUUGCCAAAAGCUUUGGUGUUUGAGCAGCCCCAGGCAAGAGGCCCCAGCACAGGCUCUGCCCUGGAGGGCUCAGGCCCUGCCCUGCUGUGGAUGCUGGACUUACCUCUGUGGACGUGCGCUGAGCUCUCACUGCAGGAACCCGUCAGGCCUCGGUGGCUGUGAGUUCAUGUUCUUCUCACUGGGGAGUUGGAAAUAAUUAAUUAAUUGCAGAAUUAAUUAAAUUAAUAAACCCUUUCCCCUUUUGUGCCCCACUGUGUGGGACAAGGGCAGAGAGAGCGAGCAGAGGAGCGGCCGGGCCUGGAGAGGGGCAGGAGAAAGGCAGAGGGACCUUCCCUGGUGUCACCAGGGCACUGUGGGGAACAGAAGGGACACCGUGAGGGCAAGGGCAGGUGAGGAGGGGACAGCUUGGGGCCAAACCCGGGUUCAC